UAGGGAAUCUUCCACAAUGGACGCAAGUCUGAUGGAGCAACGCCGCGUGAGUGAAGAAGGUUUUCGGAUCGUAAAGCUCUGUUGUUGGUGAAGAAGGAUAGAGGUAGUAACUGGCCUUUAUUUGACGAUAAUCAACCAGAAAGUCACGGCUAACUACGUGCCAGCAGCCGCGGUAAUACGUAGGUGGCAAGCGUUGUCCGGAUUUAUUGGCCGUAAAGCGAGCGCAGGCGGAAGAAUAAGUCUGAUGUGAAAGCCCUCGGCUUAACCGAGGAACUGCAUCGGAAACUGUUUUUCUUGAGUGCAGAAGAGGAGAGUGGAAUUCCAUGUGUAGCGGUGGAAUGCGUAGAUAUAUGGAAGAACACCAGUGGCGAAGGCGACUCUCUGGUCUGCAACUGACGCUGAGGCUCGAAAGCAUGGGUAGCGAACAGG
rnacentral:rRNA from 1 species